GAGAGUAUGAUUUAUGGAGGAGGGGACCAAGUAUGGGCUGAGUGCGACGGCAGUGGAAGGCCGAGAAGCCCAGCUCUGUACACAGUUGCUCUGCCGUCAGACCGAGCAACUUUGGGCCGUGGACUGUAGCAAUUAAAGAUGAUGAAUUGCGGGCGAGUUUGAUGUGAUUCAGUUACUGGCCUUUUCUGCGCUCUCCCCAACCUUUCUUGAACCAAACCCUGGCGUUUGUUUCUCCUCCUCUUCAGUUACUGGCCUUUUCUGCGCUCUCCCCAACCUUUCUUGAACCAAACCCUGGCGUUUUUUUCUCCUCCUCCACCGCCACCUCCCGUGGCGGAGAGGUUAGGGUUCGGCCCCUCGUUAGCCACCGGCACAAUGGAGGUGGCGAACGCGCCCACCCAGUAGCUCAGCCUCGCCAGCUUCGCCUACUGCUCCGCCGGCGAUCUGCGGAAAUGUUCUUGAAUCCCGGCUCGAGCCACGUUGUCGCAUUGAUGGCGGAUCUCGUAGUUCUCACACUUCGAUAUUCUUGCUGAAACUCGUCUUUUAUUUUUCUUGUGACACAUUUGAUAUCUGCGCUUAUUUUAUUGAUAUGUUGGAUGAUUUCAAGUUUCUUUUCAGUUCCUGAUAGAUUUCUUGUUUCUUGUGAAAUAUUCUUGUUCUUAUAUAUUUUCUGAUUUCGUUGCUAAUCCUCUCUUUCCAGCUUUCUUUUCCUCGCCCCUUGGAUUUUUUAUUUCUUUUGAAAGAUUUGAUUUUUCAUUUCUUUGGAAGGCUUGUUUCGCACACGAAAGAAAGAAGUUAGUACAUUCGGACGGAAUUGCUUCCGUGUCUUACUUCCUUUCUUUCUUCUCUGUACUGGAUAAUUUUCUUAUCUCUUGUGAAAGAUUUAAUCUUGUGCUAUUUUACCUGUGUAUAAUGAUCUUGGUGUUGGAAUGCUUCGGUAGUAUUAUGGUAUUGUGGGUUGUUUGUUUCAUUCUUCUUUUGUUUCUCUUUGCUUGAUCGAUUUCUUAUUCUCCGGAAAGAUUUGAUCUUGUGCUGCUUGUCUUGCGUGUUCUGUGAUUUCAAUGUGGGAAUGCUUGAAUAGAAUUAUUGUACUGGGGUUUCUUUAUUUCUUUCUUUCUUUGGUUCUUUUCUGUGGUUGAUAGAUUAUUUAUUUCUUCUGAAAGAUUCAAUCUUGUGCCGCCUUGCUUGUCUUUUUGGUGAUUUCAACGUUGCAACAUUUGAAUACUAUGUGUUUACUUUCUUGCUUCCUUUCUUUCUUUUUUGUGCUUAACAGAUUUCUUAUUUGUUAUGGAAGAUUUGAUCUUUUGCUUUUUAUUGAUAUAUUUGGUGAUUCGAAUGUUGGAAUUCUUGAAUGGAAUUGUUAUAUUGCAGUUUCUUUUUCUCUUUCUUUUCCCUGAUUGCCAGGAUACCCUUCUUCAAGAAUCGUUAAUGUCUUAUGAAUUAUGAGGAACAGUAAUUGUUUAGCCCUAUUUUCAUUUUAUUUACUUUCAGUAAUUUGGAGCAUUUCUGUAUUUGUAUUUUUAAUUGGUUAGGCCAAUAUGGGUUCGUAAAAGAAGGAUUCUGAUGUUAUGGCAUAAAAGAUUGAACUAAAUGGUGAUUAUUGAAUGCAAUAAUAUUUCUUCUUGAACAUUCUCUUAUGUAUGUUUUGAUUUGCUAGCAGUUUUCUCAUUGUCGGUAAUCUGUCCUCUUCCAUAGGUAAUCCUUAAGAAAGAUUUUGGCUUUCUUCCGGCAACACAAUGUCCAUACUCAUGUUUGAUGUCUUCAUACUUGAUUCAUUUAUUAAAUUAAUUUUUGUGGCUCUUGAUCUGCAUUUCUUAGCCUGAUUACUUCUUACCGACUAUAUGCAUAUAUUUGUCUUGCCUGAUAAAUAUAAUAUAAGCUUGCAUUGCUUACUUUGGAGUUGGAAUCCUACAGGCAGAAGAGUAGUAGAAAUGGACAAGUGUGUUUUUCUAUUGCUUGGAUGUUUUUCUCAAAGUAUUGCUUGGUUUAAUUUGUAUCUGCAAUUGACCUGUGCCAUUCAGGUUAUGACAACAGGGCAGAGGGUGUUUUUUAAUUUUUGUGGAACAAAAUAUCUUAUGUGACUUGGAACUGUACAUGUUUUAGUGUUGAUUGACUUACUGUACUUUGUCAUGAUCUUGUUUAUGCUUUGCUCGUUACUAUCUGAUACUAUGCAUUUUUUUCAGGUAGGGAUAUGAAUUCAAAUGCUAUAGAUCUCAUUAGGAGCGGUCAUGCAACUAAAUCUUUGAUGAUUUUACUAGUAAUCAAGUACAUGACUCUCAAAUAGCAUGGAGAAAGUGAGGCUUAAAUCAUAAACAGAUUAGACCUUUUUAUUUAUAAAUAAUUUUCAUAUUUUGGAUGCAACUGCAUGAAUGAAGAAUUAUAGUGGAGUUGAGAUAAAAUGUGUGAGGACCCGUGCAGGCGUGUGUUUAGUCCCACAUCGGUUAUUCGCUAUGUAGAUCUUGGGUACUUAUACAGGAUCAAGGAAUCCAAAUAGUACCUUUCAGCUAGCCAUUUUUAGGUAAGGUUUUGGGUUAUUACAAAUAGUAUCAGAGCGAACCCAGCCCAUAACUUAUGUGGACUAGGGAACACUGCAACACAAAUCUAUUGAGACUGACCACGAGCCAAUCGUGGUAUUUGUGAUUAGAUUUGAAUGAAUUUGAACCCUUAGCCUGACGAGGACGUCAAGGCUUGAACGGGGGGAGGAGGGUAUGUGAGGACCCGUGCGUGCGUGUGGUUAAUCCCACGUCGGUUAUUUGCUGGGUAGAUCUUGGGUACUUAUAUAGGAUCAAGGAACCCAAAUAGUACAUUUCGGCUAGCCAUUUUUGGGUGAGGUCCUAGGUUGCUACAGAAUGUGUUGUCAAAAAUGCAGUUUCAUUUGCCUUGAACUGACAAAUAAGCAAGGAUGAUCUUGCUAAACCUUUAGAUGAGGAGAGCACGAAGACUUACUGUGGAUGACAUUUUGCAUGCCCUCAAAGAAAUUGUCGCUGCUUUUGGUACAUCCAUGGAUGAUCCUGAACAAUGCAGGUAAACCCAAGUUGCUAAUCUCAUCUUUUAUUAUGAAAAAUACACCGGAUAAAUUCUUGCUGGUUUGACAACUCCUUUUCUUAAAUAGUUUUUUAGCUCAGCAGUUGCUUCUCAUAGUUUUCUUUACAUCAUAUUCUAUUUAUCCUAGGAAGGCAUUCUCUCUACAAAUAUGUAGUUUGAGCAGUCGGUACAGAAAACCUUGUGUGUACAUUUUCUGUGACAUGUUUUGGGGUCCGAAUAUAACACUAAUCCCAUGAAAUUCUGAUUUCUUUGGUUUUUGAGUUAGAGAUUUGUGAGACUUGGACUAAGGCCUAAGGUUUGAAUGCUAGGCCUUCAAGUGUAAACCUGGAACAAGGGUUUGAUCUUUGAGCAAUUACAUUCUUCCAUUUAAAAUUCUUUUCCUAGGAAUAGGAGGGAACUAACUAUCUCAUUAUCAGCUUGACUUGUCCCUUGAGGAACUACAAUUACAGAAAAGGAGACCAAAGGUGUGUAUAGAAAAGAGGUCUGCUUAUCAUUGUUCACUUUUCUUAUUCUCAUCCACUUCUUAAAACAAAAAUAAAUAAAAAUGAAGACUUUCCCCAACUAUUUCUUCCAACCGCACCUCGCCUAGCUGCCCCCUUCUCAUCCCCACUAGCAUUCUUGCCUUGCUUUUGACUGCACGGCCUUCUUCCGGGUCGCUGAUUAUGACCACUUGAUCAUCUUUGCAGCUUAAUUUUGCUUGAUGUGAAUUGAGAAACUAAUAGAAUAGCCAUAAAAUUAAUUAUCUCAUUUACUUCUUGAAAUUUAGUCCAUAUUAUAUAUGUAUGCUUUGUAAGCACCAAUUUAGCAGUACAUAUUUAGCACUGGCACUGCAUUACUGUAGGGAGUUAUACAUAUUUAGCAGUACAUUCCUAGUUCGUGCAUUGAAUAGGAAUCAAUUUUAAAUGAUGACAGUAAUGCUACCUGUCAUCCAGAUCUUUCGAGUUGCACCAUAAUUAUGUCAGAUGUUAGGUUAUAUUGAUGUUUCGUGGGAACUCUUAAAACAUAAACCUUACUUUUAGGCUCUUGGGCACUUGCAGCUCGUCCUAUACAGCAAUUUGGCAUGAUUCCAUUAUUGGACAGGUGUGUGAAUUUUUAGGUUUCAGUUCUAAUAGAGGAAUUAAUCUACAUCUAUGAAAGCAUGAAAGUUUGCUCGCUGACUAUGGUUUUACAGUAUAUAUUUAAAUCUUGUAUGAUUACCCAUACUGGCCCUUAUCGUACAAUGGCUCUGAACACACGUAAUGCACAUGAGAGAAGCAGGAGGAUCUGCUGUAGUCUCAAUCUGAUUCAAGAUUAUUUUUUAAUCUAUAUGUAGAUUAAUGUAUGCACUCCCACUUUGUAUUACUGCAUGUAGUAAUGAUGAUGUAUUAUUUACUGGAGUGACCUACCAGAAGUUGGAAUAACGGUCAGUUGUCCAACUCCCCUAAAGCAUUGACAUUAUCAUAUUAGUAAAGAAGAUGCAUAUAAUUGGUACGUGUGGUACAUGUUCCUAGAUUAAGAAAAAUGAAUUGAUGAUAGAUGGAUGUGAUCCCAUCGAUCAGUGAAACCUUUAAAUUUUUAAUCCAUGUGCAUUAGUAUAUGCACCCCCAAUUUUUGUUGUCACAUUUUUUUUUCUUUUUUAAGAAUUGGCCAUACUUGUGAGGAGUUCAACUAGUGAAAUGCGGGUUGAUUUGUAAUCCUUCGAAUGUAAUGGUGUGGGUGAUGGUCCAAUGCCCAGGUAGUCACCUUAAAAUGUGCAUCAUAACUUAGGUGAGGUAAGAUGUUCUCUGAGUAGUUGGUUGCAUCAGCAAUUUGUUUGUUGAUAUCAAGAAUAUUCUUGUUGGUCUAAUACAUUGUGUGAUGUUUCAGAUUCCAAUCAAAAAGCUGUAUAUGCUUGUCAAAAUGGCUCUAAGGAGAUAAAGGAGGUAAUGACAUGUGAUUAUAGGGAUUACGGGAUGGAGUGAUCAUGAUGUAUUUAGCUAGUAAAUAUUGACUUUUCUUUUGACAUAUGUAUAUGUGGACAUUUGAUAUGAAAAUUGAAAUUUAUUUUUAUUUAGUUAUUGAUGGUUGAUCUGAUUUAUCUGCCUUGUGUGCCUGCGGGGUUCGCCCUACAGGUGCGCGGCAUCUGCUCGCGUCCUGGGCCCUGGGUUCGGAGCGUGACAGAGACCUUAGGAUAUGUGGUGGAGGGCUCUACCCCCUUCUGUAGCCUACUGCAUAAUGCAUACAGUUCUCUUCUAUCAAAAGUUUUUUCUUAUUUUCAUAAACAAAAAAAUGGCACCACAGGUUUUUUUUUAUUUGUUAUCAUAUUUGAUUCCCAGCAUUAUAACCAGCAUUUUGGAUUUCACCAUCAAAAUAUGCUGUCGUAUCAGUAGAACAAUUACUCUCUGACAUUUACCAGUAAAUCCUUUUCUUAAAUUUAAUACUUCCACCAGUAAAUCAUCCGGUUUCUAAGUACAACUUUCUGCAGGUGCAUGGAAAUUGUCUGAGCCAUCAGUUUUGCUUCGACAUAAAGGUAACCUGAGCUUGAGAGGAGGCGGCACUUCUAUUUUCUGUUACAUAGAAGGUUUAUCACUGCAUCGGGCAUGCCUCCCUGAGAAAUUUGGCUUGCAUUUCUAUGUUAGAUACCAGCUCUUAUGUUGAUUUGAGUGGUGUUACAUUACAAUGCUGCAGAGUGCUUGUUGUAAGCUUAGAUCCCAUGGCCUGUAGUCUGCUCUGACUCACAAAUGUAAGUCAAGGGACCAAAAUUUAAACCAAUGAGCCGAGGCAUCAACUUCAACAGUAUCAAUGAUGGGAAAUACACUGCUCACAGAUUCUGAUUGAGAUUGAAAGAGAAUAUAUCUUGUUGUCAA